CCUACGAGAGGCAGCAGUGGGGAAUAUUGCACAAUGGGGGAAACCCUGAUGCAGCGACGCCGAGUGAGUGAAGAAGUCUUUCGGUAUGUAAAGCUCUAUCAGCAGGGAAGAAAAUGACGGUACCUGAUUAAGAAGCCCCGGCGAACUACGUGCAAGCAGACGCGGUAAUACGUCGGGGGCAAGCGUUAUCCGGCUUUACUGGGUGUAAAGGGAGCGUAGACGGCAGCGCAAGUCUUGAGUGAAAUGCCGGGGCUUAACCCCGGAACUGCUUUGGAAACUGGUCAGUUAGAGUGCAGGAGAGGUAAGUGGAAUUCCUAGUGUAGCGGUGAAAUGCGUAGAUAUUAGGAGGAACACCAGUGGCGAAGGCGGCUUACUGGACUGUAACUGACGUUGAGGCUCGAAAGCGUGGGGAGCAAACAGGAUUAGAUACCCGUGUAGUC
rnacentral:rRNA from 1 species